UACGUAGGGGGCAAGCGUUGUCCGGAAUCAUUGGGCGUAAAGAGCGCGUAGGCGGCCCGAUAAGUCCGCUGUGAAAGUCAAGGGCUUAACCCUUGAAUGCCGGUGGAAACUGUCGGGCUAGAGUCCGGAAGAGGCGAGUGGAAUUCCUGGUGUAGCGGUGAAAUGCGCAGAUAUCAGGAGGAACACCGAUGGCGAAGGCAGCUCGCUGGGACGGUACUGACGCUGAGACGCGAAAGCGUGGGGAGCGAACAGG
rnacentral:rRNA from 1 species